UGAACGCUGGCGGCGUGCCUAAUACAUGCAAGUCGAGCGAACAGACGAGGAGCUUGCUCCUCUGACGUUAGCGGUGGACGGGUGAGUAACACGUGGAUAACCUACCUAUAAGACUGGGAUAACUUCGGGAAACCGGAGCUAAUACCGGAUAAUAUAUUGAACCGCAUGGUUCAAUAGUGAAAGACGGUUUUGUUGUCACUUAUAGAUGGAUCCGCGCCGCAUUAGCUAGUUGGUAAGGUAACGGCUUACCAAGGCAACGAUGCGUAGCCGACCUGCGAGGGUGAUCGGCCACACGGGAACUGAGACACGGUCCAGACUCCUACGGGAGGCAGCAGUAGGGAAUCUUCCGCAAUGGGCGAAAGCCUGACGGGGCAACGCCGCGUGAGUGAUGAAGGUCUUCGGAGCGUAAAACUCUGUUAUUAGGGAAGAACAAAUGUGUAAGUAACUAUGCACGUCUUGACGGUACCUAAUCAGAAAGCCACGGCUAACUACGUG
rnacentral:rRNA from 1 species